GACGAGGGGUCCUAGCGUUGUUCGGAAUUAUUGGGCGUAAAGCGUGUGUAGGCGGCCUAGCAAGUCAGUUGUGAAAGCCCCGGGCUCAACCCGGGAAGUGCUUCUGAUACUGCUUGGCUUGAGUACUGGAGAGGAUAGUGGAAUUCCAGGUGUAGUGGUGAAAUGCGCAGAUAUCAGGGAGAACACCUAUGGCGAAGGCAGCUCUCUGGGACGGUACUGACGCUGAGACGCGAAAGCGUGGGGAGCGAACAGG
rnacentral:rRNA from 1 species